UACAGAGGUCUUAAGCGUUGUUCGGAUUCAUUGGGCGUAAAGGGUGCGUAGGCGGCGCGGUAAGUCGGGUGUGAAAUCUCGGAGCUUAACUCCGAAACUGCAUUCGAUACUGCCGUGCUUGAGGACUGGAGAGGAGACUGGAAUUCAUGGUGUAGCAGUGAAAUGCGUAGAGAUCAUGAGGAAGACCAGUGGCGAAGGCGGGUCUCUGGACAGUUCCUGACACUGAGACACGAAGGCCAGGGGAGCAAACGGG
rnacentral:rRNA from 1 species